UAAGUUUCCAUUAAGGAGGUUUGGUCAGGACUGGACUCAGCACUGGCACAGAGGCAGCACAGCUAUGUGGGAAGAACACAGGCUGGUCUGCAGGUGUCUAGAUUUGGAUCCUAGCUCUGUUACUUACUACUUUGUGACUUUGAGCAAAUUCACGUCUCUGAAAGGACCAGAGACCAUGCUGGGAAGCCUGGCUGCUCUUUGAGGACUGAGAUGAACUUAGCAAUGCAGAGAAGAACAAAGAGAGGCUUGUGCUCACCGUGUUCCAGAGGGAUCACCGUGUUCCCUUUGUUCAUUUGAGGACAUGAAUACAACUAUGGUCUUUGGACAAAAGGCAUAUGCCAGGCAGUAUGAAUGGUCUCUCUUGUCUGUGCAAUUAGUAUGUAAGAGCACGUGAACUGGUGCCUGGGACCUCUACCUGUUUUAGUAUGAUAGCACCACAGUAAAGGGCCUGGACUUUGUAUGAGCUUGGGAAAAUCAUGUCACCUCUGCAAGUCUUGGUUUCCCUGGGUGUUAAAUGUCAAUUUAAGUAAAAUGCUAUCUACUUUGUUUUGGAGACUUUCUAUGAGAAUCUGAUAAACUAUAACCUGUGAAAGAGUUUCAAAAGUUGUAAAAGAUUGAAGGGUGAGUAUACGGUGCAUGAUCCUUUACAGGGUUCUUGAAAAUGCAGUUACUCCAAGGGGCAGUGCUAGCAGAAGCUCAUAGCUCAUUCUCCUGAUUAGAAAACCUUUUUGGGGAAAGGGCUCAGGUUUAUUUCUGGUUCUAACAUGCUCAGUUUAAUGCAACAUAUUUCAGCUUCUUAUGGAAUCUCUACCAUAUGCUAAGCCUGUGCCAGGCAAAAGGGGGUGGUGUGGCAUGGAGAUUAGUCAUAGAGAAGUUCUGUCCCCCAGGAUCACCAAAGGACCCAUCUUCCUCUGAUAGAGCCCUCUGCCGACUUAGUUGAUCUUCGCUCUUGGCAAAGCCACAUGUACGGUAGCCCAGGUCCUUUUGAAAGGUAGUGUUUGUGGCAAGAAUUAAAGCAAUAACACCCUACUUUGGAGGUACAAGCUCAAGGUGGUGAGGGUGAUGGCAGGAAGAGGCAAGUGAAUCAAGGAAAGAUGGAAGCAAUGCAAUGCCACCUGCCCCUCUGCUAGCCAGAGGUUUAUGUGAACCUUGCAGUGACACAUUAGUUCCUCAACAGGCACAGCCGCUUGGCGUACUGGGCUGCGUGGGAAGGUUGGUGAGGAAAAAACACGCUUUGAAGUAAUCCACAUUGGGAAGAAAAGAGGAUAUUUAUCUGUCCAAUUACUUUCCAGUUCCAUUUCUCACUGGUCAAGGUUAUAUCCAGAGGAAAUCAUAGCCCCUGGUGGAUGCUCAGUAAGCCAGAUCCCAUGCUCAUGAUACUGUGCUUCAUGCGAGUGGAAAAGUGGGGGAAAGCUUGGCACAAGUGGGCUCCAGCCCACAGAAAGAGAGAAAGAGACAGCCGGGAGCGUCUCAGAAGGCACACAGGUGUUUGGUCCUAUUCCCUGACCUUCUCCUACUCCAGGUUAGGAGAGCUUGGAAUCCAGUGGAGUGUGGGGGUGAAUAUGGCUCCACUUCUAAAUCCCUUCCUUCAUCUCCAUCCACUGGAAGCGAUUGCAUCCUGCUGACAGGUUCCUCAGCUCUGAAGCCUCAUCCAAGGGCUUAACAGGAACAGAGUGACUGCCGUGGCUCCACCUCAACCUCUCCUGCAGACCGAUCCAGCCUUAUCCUUUCCACAAUCCCUUACGAGAGGCCUGGAUUCUUAUUAAGAAACACUAUGGAUUUUUAGAGUAAAAAUGUCUAUAGAGAGACUUCAGAAACAGUCUGGGGAGAUUAUAAAGAAAUGUGGGCCAGUUGUCCAAGGAGAUUUUAUAGAAUAUUCAAUAGCACUCAUGUCAUAAAAGGCCUGUGGAGGUUUGCAUAGCUGAGGCUGGCCCUGAAUUAUGAUUCCCUGAUGCAGAGCCCAGCAAAAGCUCACAGCAUCCCAGACUAGGGCUUGAUGCUGCUGUGCUUGUAAAAAUAGAGCCACCUCACCUCACUCAAAUGCAGUGGGGAUAUUAAUUUCCAGGGCUGGAGUUCAAUUUCAUAGAAAGACAGAGUGGAAAAUAGAGCUGUCUUUUCAAUCCCAGUGGUCAUAAUAGAACCCCACCCUGCACCUCUCUGGAAACUGUCUCCCAGCCAGCUCCCAGACACACUGAAACGUACCUUGUGCUUUGCUUUCAAUGAUAACUGGAGCUGGGUAGCCACAGGGACAGCAAUUACUGUCCACAGAUGAGGAACCUGAGGCAUUUGGAGGUUAAUCUACUCUCUCACAGGCACAGAGCGAGGCAGAGGAUGUGCCAGUUUGAAAGUCCUCCUCCUGAGUGGGAGCAGACGACCACAGUUACAUUCCACUUUUAUGGAAGAAGGAGAGUUAUGAAGGUGCAGGCCUACUGUGUGCUAGGCCCUGCAUGAAGUGCUUGACAUUCACACUCAUUCAGUUUUACAGUGAACCUGACAGGUCAAUAUUUUCUCCAUUUAUUAGGAAACUGAGAUUCAGUGAGACAAGGACAUUUGUUCAAAUAAAUCUCGUAACUCUGAAGAGGCCUGGAUCUGAGAAGAAUGGGUGCCAGGUAGUCUGACUGGGCUAGUUUUGCCCCAUCAUGGCCCUGUGACAUCCGUUCUGCCUCCCAGCUAGACUGGACUCCCCCAGACCAGGAACUGUGUCCUGGCUCUUCCUAGCACCCAGCUCAGGGAGGGCUAUCAAGGCUGCUGAAAGCAGGUGAGUUGGCAGAAUCUGGUGAGUGGGAAGAAUUGGACCUAUGCUUUUUAAAAAUGGGCUUGAAAUUUUAACUGAAACUUUCUCUCCUUACCUUAAAGCUCAGUGAAUGUCAGUCUCUGAGCAGAUGGGAAGAACUGAGGAUGAAUUUGUCCACUUAAAUGGGAAUGGAAGCUUAAGAAUCAAGAUAUUUGAAGAUAAGGGAAACUGAGGUACAGAGGAGGGGAAGAGCCAUGAUUGACUUCAUGCAACUCAUCAGGGAGGGCACCCAGAUUUACACGUGGAUCUGUGUCACUACAAAGCAGUGCCCUUGACUUAACACUCCAUCACUUUCCAUACAAGCUUCAAACUGAACUCCACCUUCAUUAGCUUGGUGAGCGCAGACCGCUGAACUCUUCUAACAUCUGUCUUAGAGGUUAUGUGUUGGCUGCUGCGUUCAGAGCUAUCCUAAAAGUAACUGAAACAAGGGAUUUUUGACUCCAUGGCUAAACAGUUUCUGGGGAGCAGACCUUGAUUCUACCAUUACUUAGAAAACAAAUCAAAUUAGAGUCAGACUAGUGAUGUUGUCAGAACUUUUCAAACAUAAAGACCCAUGAAUGGACAUGUACACUUGGGAUCAAAAGCACUCUCCUCUUCCAAACAGCAGUCUACACUUGGCCUUUUGAGAGGCUGAGCUAUUGCCAAGGACUAUUUAGAUGGAAGAUUUGAUUGUUGGUCAAGGAGACACUGAAGAAGAGAUAAGAUGGUGUACUGGAAUGGAAGGAAGGCUCUGGACAUCAGAACUUUGGGCCACUGUACUGCUGUGUAAAUUUGCGAAACCUACUUAAUCCUUAUGGACUGUUUCCUCAUCUGGAAAAUGAGUUAAAUGAGAUCCAUUUUAUAAAAUUGUUGUAAUGAUUAUAUAAGUAAACACAUAGUAAUAUUAUUUGAUUUUAUUAUUAUUAUUAUGACUUGUCACUCAAAGCAUUUAGCUUUGGUGUCUCUAAUAUUCAGUACUCACAUUUAUGUUCAAAUUUGGAUGCUAGGUAGAAAUGAAGACUUUGUAUCUGCCACCAGAGAAGGCUAUUUAUUAUUUGUCAUUGCCUGUCACGAACUCACAAAGAUAGUAUUUGCCUAUCCAAAGGUAUCUAAUUCCUCAGUUUCUUAUGUGACUAUAAAGGGGCCUACUUUGAUCUUACCAUGAACUCAAAUCCUUUCGAAAUUUCAAUUUGUCAGUUUUGAUAUUUGCUUCUCUCUCUUUUCUACUCCUCUUAUCCAGGAAAGGAGGCACAUUGUAGUUUUUGACUUAAUAAUGGGACCUAUAUUAAUAGUAAAGAAAGUUCAGAAGCCAAGAGAAAACCUGUGAAAUGAUAAAAAAAGGUAGAUGGAUAUAUUUUUUUAAAAUGUUCUGCCAAACACCUUUGAAUUGGCACCAUUGGGAAUACCUUUCAACAUGUAGGUUUAAGAAAACAUUUAGCUUUAUAAAGCCGCAGAGAAAAUCUUGUGAUAAAAUUAGUCAGAGUUGAGUAGAAAUGGAUUAAAGAAGGAACCAAAGAAUUUAACUCAUCAGCGAGAGGGGAUAAAACCAGGUCCUCGACCUGGAAUUCCCACAGGGUCAGGGCUCUCCCCAGUGUUUUUUCACUGCUGGUUCCACAGAUGACAGAGGGGAUGGGUGGAGAGAUAUGUUAUCCUAGACUGGUCACUUGUGCAAGCAGACCACAAUUGGGAGGAGGUCCACUAGUAUUUGAGGAAAACUAUUUAGAAGUGGGCAUCUUCUAAAUAGUUGGGAAUUAUUGAAAAGCAUUAGCCCAUUAGUUGUGAGAUAGAUGGAAGAUCAUGAAUCAGAGCGAUAUUAGAGUUUUCCUUUAUCUGGAGCUGGAUAGCCCUAAAAUAGCCAGGGAGGUGGUGUAGAUGGCCACAGUGGAUAGUGCACUGUGAGGCUUCCUGCUGGCUGUAGUUGUCCAAGGAAGAUGGACCCAUUAUGGGCAUGGGCUUCUCAAAAGGCUUGUCAUGGUCAAAAUGCUUCUGAGUUAUUGGAAAAACAAUGGUGUUCAAGGGCUGGGCCAUCAUUUGGAUCUUUCCUUGAGGUCACUAACCCUGUAAUGAAGAAGCACCUUGUCACUGGACACAAUGCUGGUUCCUGGCUGCUGGGGAUGUUCUAACUCUGGUGGAGAGCUAACAACAACAUGAGUCACCUUACACUUACCUGCUGUGCCUUUCGCUUAAGACUGUUUCUGUCACCGGGUGUCAUGGACAGCAGUUGGCUCCUAAUGUGACAGGCUGGCUUCAGGGAACCAACUCUCCAUUACUCUGUGCUACAGAAUACAUGCAGACCCAAGGAAGAUGCUUGUCUGCCUGUCUGGUCCAUCCAGGGCCAUGACCUUCAAAUACACUCUAACCCCUGAGCCCUGUCUUCCUUCCUAACAUUUGCUGGUGAAAGGUCUGGCCUCAGCAU
rnacentral:lncRNA from 1 species